AACAGCAAAAUCGUGAGAAACAUUGGUUAUGUUUAUAGCGCCCCCAAGCGGUAUUUUUGUAUGGGAGUCUUCCUGUCCAUUCCUAGCAGACACACUCAUGAGUAUGUUAUAGGAAGUACCUAUAGUAGGAAUGGUAAAAUGCUGUUUCAAGGAUUCAUCAUUUAAUAUGAAUAUCGUCGAUGUAUGGUCUACGACAAAGAGAAAUCCUCAGAUGUCUUGACUGAAUUUCCACGCUUCAAAGAUGUCAAAGGCCUGGUAAUUGAAUAUUUUACAGAGAAAUGUCCAUUAGGCCAAACAAAUGUAAAAAAAAAAAAGCUGUAGUUAUGUCUCAACUUGUGGUAUGUCAUUUAUCUUUUGCAGAUUGAGCAAGACUUCAUCUUGCAGUUUGGAGAAGAUGUAGCUGCCAAGUUUUUGGAGAGGUGGCCUACAAACAUUCAAGAAAAGGGUCAUCCAGCAGUGUAAGACUCUCCCUUCCUCAGGCGACCUUGAAUAUCUGAUCUAUUGUGCAAAAGCUACAUCAAAUUAAGAGGAAAUGGAUAUUGACAUUAUUGCCUCUGGAUGGGACAGUGAUCUGUCUUCAAUCAUUCUCCUCCACCUGAUUCCUCCAACAGCCCAAGGGCGGAAAAGGCCAGGCAAGGUGUCUGCAUCCCAAGCUGAGAAGCACCUUGUUGUGUUCAAGAAGAGUGGAACAAGCAUUCAGGAACACAUUGAUGCCAUCAACAGCACCACUCAACCAUAUCUACUUGCUGUUGGCAUGAAGAGGAGCACAAUCCAUAAGUUCUUCAUUGUUCUGGACAAGCAGGUCAUACCGUGCAACUCAACCACUUCACUCAGAGCUUUUGAUGAACUUGUGAAGGCACACUUUGUAUUUGGGACUCUUUACAAUCAGAUGCUCCACAACAUGUACAGCUUCAUACAGACAACUGUCUACAACAUUGAUUUGGGCCAAGUCCAGGAGAGCCCACGUGUUGCUGAGAUUAGGGCUAGACUUCUGCAUUCUACAGGCUAGUUCAUACAUACACUGACAUAUGGAACAGGCAACAUAUUUUCUGUUAAUUUAUUAAUGAUGUAUUGAGUUUGGAAUAUUGUGAGAUUUUCUUUGACCAAUUUCACCCUUUUUUAUAUCACACUUUAACAUCUUAAUUGAUAUCAUGGGGGUUUUUUGUUUUGUUUGCCAGAUUCAUUUUGUGAGCACCAACAGUCUUGUGAGGCAUAUGCGAUUAAUACAUGGUUUAUAUUAGGGCAAAUCACUUCGCUUAAAAUGUGCUCAGGCAGGAUGCUGCCAGGUUUUUGGCACAUUCUCAGGCUUUAGAAAGCAUCUAAAUACAAAGCAUGCUGACCAAAUUGAACUUGAAGUUGAAACUGACAUUGUAGAGAGUGACGUUGCAGAUGAUGCUCAGUAGCCAAUUAGUGAAGAAGAUGCCAGUACGUCUCAAGUUCUGCCCAUAUCCAACACAAGUACUCAUGAUUUGUGUGCAUCUGCAAUUGCACAGCUUCAGAUAGCUGGUGUAAGCCAGUCUACUUUAAAUAGUUUUGUAUAAUCCAUGGAAGACGUGGUACUGGAGGUACAGAGUCAAGCUAAAACUGCAGCUUUGAAAUGCUUAUCAUUACAGGAUACUAGUAUGAAAGCUAAAAUUGAACAAAGUUUUUAAAAGCUUGAAAACCCUUUCACCUCAUUGAAUUCUGAAACAAAAAUAAAGUAUUUUCAACAAAAAUGGAAAACUGUUGAACCUGUUGAAAAAGUACUUGGUGUCAGAUUUGAAAAUAGAAGAUGUACUGGAACUUAUGAUCAGGUUGUUGUAACUGACAAAUUUGCCUAUGUCCCAAUUCUAGAAACACUGCAGUCUAUUCUCAGAAAUCCAAACUUUGCAGAUAUGUUAACAUCUAGCCACAUUCCCAAAGAUGGUCUAUAUUUUGCAAGAUUUACAAGAUGGGUUGUAUAUGAAGAGACAUCCCCUUUUUUCCAAUGAAAAUUUUGCACUGCAAAUUCUAUUAUUUUAUGAUGAUUUUGAGACUGCAAAUCCACUGGGAUCCAAAAAAGAUUUACAUAAAUUAGGGGCUGUAUAUUUUACAUUAAGAAAUUUGCCACCAAAAUUGAAUUCAUAUAAAUUUGUGUGCACUUUUUCAUGCCUGGACAUUUGGGUUUGACACCAUACUUGAGCCAAUCGUCAGUGACCUGAAGGUGCUUGAAACUGAUGGGAUUACAGCUCCCAUGUUAAAAAAUCCUGUUUGUGGUAGCAUUGUGCAAGUCACAGGUGAUAAUCUUGGUAUACAUGGACUGUUUGGGUUUGUGGAGUCAUUCAGUGCUCGGAACUGCUGUCGUUUUUGUAUCAUAGAGAAAGGUGAUUUUCAAACUGUGUUCUGUGAAGAUGAAGAAAGUGUAAUAUUACGAACAAAAGAUAUGCAUGCAGAACAUUGCUCUACUAUACAGAUAAAUCCACAACUACCUCAUGUAUAUGGUGUGAAGUGUUCAUGUCUGUUGAACAUACUGCAGUUUUUCAGCACAGCUAAUCAUUUCUCAGUUGAUAUCAUGCAUGACAUUUUAGGAGUUGCACAGAUUGAGGUCAAAAUUCUGUUGGAGUAUGUGCAGCAGAACUUUUUAACUGCUAAAGAACUGGCUGGUAGAAUAGUGUCAUUUAACUAUGGCCACACUGAGAGGAGAAAUCGUCCUCCUGCAGUAAAGUUAUUUGAUGGAAGUAAUGAUUUGGGCCUGAAUGCGAUACAGUCCUGGUGUUUGUUGCGCAACAUGCCAUUGAUAUUUGGUGAUAUAGUUCAGAGAGAUGAGUACUGGCAUCUUUUGUUGUUGCUUCUGCAGAUAAUAUUGUGUUUUCCCCAGUUAUAACUGAUGAUAUGACUAUUUUUCUGAAACACAUUAUCAUUGAGCAUCAUCAGCUUUUCAAGCAUUUGUUUCCUGCUAGAAAUCUCUUGCCUAAGCAUCAUUUCAUGAUACAUUAUCCUAAAUCUAUAAGGAAUAUUGGACCAAUUCUAUGCUAUGAAGCAACGCACAACUUUUUUAAGACCCAACUGAAAAGUUUCAAAAAUAUCACAAAGACAUUGGCCAAAAAGCACCAAAGAUACAUGGCCAUGUAUUGGGAAUCUUUUAGUCAGUGCAGAGUAACUGUUGGUCCAGGAAAGAUGUCACAACUUCAGGAAUUGAAACAGGGUCCUGAGCUUGCUGCCAAAUUAAACACUGCAAUAUCCACUGAUGUUGACUGUGAAGUGGGUAAAACACUAUGGCACUCAGGACUAUUAUUGUAAAAGAUGAGCAAGUUAUACUUGCUGGUUCUGGUAUAGAAACCAUUUGUUUUGAUGAACAUUACAGUGGAUUUAGAAUUAUGUUAAAGCCCCUGCAGGCAAUGAAGGUGUUCAAUGUUCAAGAUUUGCUCUACUUUAAACCACUCGAUAUUCAAAUGGCAUAUGGACCAACAGAUUCCUCCCUUUUUAUAGUUCCAUAUUGCCAUCUAAUGCAGCCUUGACCAGUGUUUGUGAAAGUUUUUCACAUGGACCUGG